UUGGUGCAGUUUUAUGAAAAUGCACCACAAAACUAAAACCUACAAGAAGAAGAUUCCCCGGUAGAAUCCCUCCAACUACCGUCAUCUCACGUACACUGGAUCUACCAUCUCAACCAGAGAUUCUUUCAAUCUCCAAAUCUAUCAAACUUCAGAAAGGAAUUCAUAAUUUCUCAGACCAAUUACACAUCAUACCAAUAAAGAUUCAAAUUAAUAAUAUGUCAAUAAAAAUUACUUCAGUAAUUAAAACCUUAUAAUUGAUCAAUCAUCAUACGGAAAAGCAGCUCUUGAAUUCUGUUGCAAACUUUUCUGCAUAAAAGUCUUCCUCCAUUCUAUCUCCUUCACUUUUCCAGAUUUCUCUCACCCAAAAACUUAUCAAGACCCGCUCUCGGUAUAGAUUUUCUACAUCUCCAUGGAUGCAUUGUUUAUGCUGGCAUGGGAGGAAAGGAGUAGGAUAGGCGAAGAUGAGGAGGAGGGAAAGGUGGUAGACAAUGGGGUUUUUCGUAGCAGGCGCAGGGAUGGAUUUUUAAUGAUGGUCUCAGUAUUGGUAUUUCUUAUUUUUUGUGAGUAUCUUAAUAGGUAAGCCCUGAAAUGGCUGAUUGGCUUCAUGAGUUUGAUGGAAAUUAACUUCUGUAUGUCUGCUCUUUAAGUUAUUUUACGUCCCGUAGCGUAAAACAUUUUACACUGGAAAAUAUUUGCCUAACGCCUUCUACUGUCAAACACCAGAAAAUCGGAAAACUAUUUUCUGGAAAAUAUUUUGAAUUCAAACAAACAGACCCUAAGAGGAAAAAUGGUAGAGCGACAACUCUUGGCCAUCAAGCCAACUUGACCAAAGACCAUUCUAGUCUUUAUCUUGUAAAUUCUCCUCAAACCUAUUCAUUUGCUUCCUUCUUUGGCCGAGCAAGAGAGAGAGAGAAAAAAAAAAAAGAUAAAAGAAAGCUUCAUUUUGUUUGAGUGAAGAUCAACAAGAAUCACAAAUCUAAACCGAACAAAGUUACAAUAAGGUAGCAAGGAAGCUUAUAGUGGAGAUUUUUGGAGAGUGAAGCCUUGGUUUUUCACUUUCUCCUAGAGGUAUUAAGGCUGCUCUGUGUUCAUUGAUAUGAAGAUGAUUGGAGUACGUGUUUUAAGAGGUUUUGGGGAAGAUGCAUCUAAGAAAAUCAGCCAUCCAAUCUUUAAACAGAUGCAAUAUAUAGCGUCUUAAUGUAUUGUGCUUAUGGUAUAUAAUUUUUUUAUUAUGAUAGUUUGAUAAUGUGGGUAACAAAUAUAUGUGUCUUAGUCUUGGGCUUAGAACAUGAAUAUGCGGUAACAAAUAUAAUACUUUUCAAUUUUCCUUUGUCA